UGCGUAGGCGGUUGCGGUAAGUCUGUUGUGAAAUCUCCGGGCUCAACUCGGAGCCUGCAACGGAAACUGCCGUGCUGGAGUAUGGGAGAGGUGAGUGGAAUUCCCGGUGUAGCGGUGAAAAUGCGUAGAUAUCGGGAGGAACACCUGUGGCGAAAGCGGCUCACUGGACCAUUACUGACGCUGAUGCACGAAAGCUAGGGGAGCAAACAGGAUUAGAUACCCUGGUAGUCCUAGCCCUAAACGAUGAUCGCUUGGUGUGACAGGUACCCAAUCCUGUUGUGCCGGAGCUAACGCGUUAAGCGAUCCGCUGGGGAGUACGGUCGCAAGGCUGGA
rnacentral:rRNA from 1 species